GACGAACGCUGGCGGCGUGCCUAAUACAUGCAAGUCGAACGCAGUGGGGACGGGUGAGUAACACGUGGGUAACCUCCCAUCAGAGGGGAUAACACUUGGAAACAGGUGCUAAACCGAUACUGAUGGAUGGACCCGCGGUGCAUUAGCUAGUUGGUGAGGUAACGGCUCACCAAGGCCACGAGGCAUAGCCGACUUGAGAGGGUUAUCGGCCACACUGGGACUGGGACACGGCCCAGACCCCUACGGCAGGCAGCAGUAGGGAUUCUUCGGCAAUGGACGAAAGUCUGACCGAGCAACGCGGCUGGAUUGAAGAAGGUUUUCGGAUCGUAAGACUCUGUGGUUAGAGAAGCGGUAUCUAACCAGAAAGCCACGGCUAACUACGUGCCAGCAGCCGCGGUAAUUC
rnacentral:rRNA from 1 species